UACGGAGGGUGCGAGCGUUUAAUCGGAAUUACUGGGCGUAAAGGGUGCGUAGGUGGUAUUGUAAGUUAUCUGUGAAAUCCCUGGGCUCAACCUGGGCAGGUCAGAUAAAACUGCAGUACUCGAGUAGUGGGAGAGGGUAGUGGAAUUUCCGGUGUAGCGGUGAAAUGCGUAGAGAUCGGAAGGAACACCAGUGGCGAAGGCGGCUACCUG
rnacentral:rRNA from 1 species